rnacentral:rRNA from 1 species
CGGGUGAGUAACACGUGGGCAACCUUUCCUAUCGCGGGGGAUAACACCGGGAAACCGAUGCUAAUACCGCAUGUCGUCACUGGUCGCAUGGCUGGUGAAGAAAGCAGCAAUGCACGAUGGGGUGGGCCCGCGGCCUAUCAGCUAGUCGGUGGGGUAACGGCCUACCGAGGCGAUGACGGGUAGCUGGUCUGAGAGGACGACCAGCCACACGGGGACUGAGACACGGCCCCG